AUGAACGCUAGCGACAGGCCUAACACAUGCAAGUCGAGGGGCAGCACAAGGAGCAAUCUGAGGUGGCGACCGGCGCACGGGUGAGUAACACGUAUGCAACCUGCCUGUAAGCGGGGAAUAACCCGUUGAAAGACGGACUAAUACCGCAUAAUACUAAAUUACUGCAUGGUAAUUUAUUUAAACAUUUAUGGCUUACAGAUGGGCAUGCGCAUGAUUAGCUAGUUGGAGAGGUAACGGCUCCCCAAGGCAACGAUCAUUAGGGGUUCUGAGAGGAAGGUCCCCCACACUGGUACUGAGACACGGACCAGACUCCUACGGGAGGCAGCAGUGAGGAAUAUUGGUCAAUGGACGAGAGUCUGAACCAGCCAAGUCGCGUGCAGGAAGAAUGUUCCCUAUGGAUUGUAAACAGCUUUUGCAGGGGAAUAAAGUGCAUCACGUGUGAUGUUUUGUAUGUACUCUGCGAAUAAGGAUCGGCUAACUCCGUGCCAGCCGCUGC
rnacentral:rRNA from 1 species